UACGAAGGGUGCAAGCGUUACUCGGAAUUACUGGGCGUAAAGCGUCCGCAGGUGGCAGUUCAAGUCUGCUGUCAAAGACUGGGGCUUAACCCUAGAAAGGCAGUGGAAACUGAACAGCUAGAGUGCGGUAGGGGUAGAGGGAAUUCCCGGUGUAGCGGUGAAAUGCGUAGAGAUCGGGAAGAACACCAGUGGCGAAAGCGCUCUGCUGGACCUGCACUGACACUGAGGGACGAAAGCUAGGGGAGCGAAUGGG
rnacentral:rRNA from 1 species